GACGAACGCUGGCGGCGUGCCUAAUACAUGCAAGUAGAACGCAGUUGCGAACGGGUGAGUAACGCGUAGGUAACUUCCUCAUAGCGGGGGAUAACUAUUGGAAACGAUAGCUAAUACCGCAUCCUGUGAGAUGGACCUGCGUUGUUUUAGGUAGUUGGUGAGGUUAAGGCUCACCAAGGCGACGAUACAUAGCCGACCUGAGAGGGUGGUCGGCCACACUGGGAACGGGUCACGGCCCCGACUCCUACGGGAAGCAGCAUUAGGGAAUCUUCGGCAAUGGGCCGAAGUCUUACCGCGCCACGCCGCGUGAGUGAAGAAGGUUUUCGGAUCGUAAAGCUCUGUUGUUUGAGAAGCGGUACCUAACCAGAAAGGGACGGCUAACUACGUGCCAGCAGCCGCGGUAAUUC
rnacentral:rRNA from 1 species